rnacentral:rRNA from 1 species
UACAGAGACUGCAAGCGUUAUUCGGAUUCACUGGGCGUAAAGGGUGCGCAGGCGGUUGGGUGUGUCAGAUGUGAAAUCCCGAGGCUCAACCUCGGAACUGCGUCUGAAACUACUCGACUAGAGUACUGGAGAGGGUAACGGAAUUCCCGGUGUAGCGGUGAAAUGUGUAGAGAUCGGGAGGAACACCGGUGGCGAAGGCGGUCUUCUGGACGGUGACUGACGCUGAGGCGCGAAAGCGUGGGGAGCAAACGGG